rnacentral:rRNA from 1 species
UACAGAGGUCUCGAGCGUUAGGCGGAAUCACUGGGGUUAAAGCGUGUGUAGGUGGAUGCCUAAGUACCUUGUGAAAUCCCACGGCUUAACCGUGGAACUGCUUGGUAUACUGGGUGUCUUGAGUCACUCAGGGGCGAGCGGAACAAAUGGUGGAGCGGUGAAAUGCGUAGAUAUCAUUUGGAACGCCAAUGGUGAAAACAGCUCGCUGGGGGUGCACUGACACUGAGACACGAAAGCCAGGGGAGCGAACGGG